UGUGGGCGAGAAAGGAAAACUCAGAAGGAAAGGGGGGUAUUGGGGGAGGUGAGGGGCUGGCAGCCAGCUGUCUGAGCCCAGGCUUGUCCCCUGCCGGAUCUUGGCUCUUAUGACCCCAGAAAAGAUGCGCCUUCACUCUGCCGCAUCUUGAGAAAGACCAGUUGAAUGAAGAAACCGAUACUCAUCCCUAUGAACCAAGAGCCAAAAGUCCAAGCCCACUCGUGUUGGGUCUGAUGAAGCAGAGCGGAGGGUCCGUCCGCGGGUGUGAAGAGCGACUUGAGACCAUGACCAGAUCUUAGAUGAGCAUGUUUCUUGGUGUAACACCCGCACACAGAAGGCAAGGAUCUGUCCUAAGGCCACAACAGAAGGAUGAGUGCUGACGUGGUUCGGGGCCGGCGAUUGUUUAAAGUAUCGAAGACCUAGGUAAUCCGUCUGUAAGGAGCUAAUUUUAAAACACGGCCCCGGAAAUUAGCACUCCACACGCCGUUAGGACGACAGUUGGCUUGCUGGUUUGUUUGUUUUUAAGACAGGGUCUCAUAGCCACCUGCAACACUCUCCCAGGCUGGCUUUGAACUCUCCAUCUUCCUGUCUCUGCUUCCUGAGCGGAUUACAGGCUAAAUAUCCAAAAUACUUUAUAAGAAAGCCCAAGUAUGCCCUGCCAGCCAACACUUGGCAGCGCAGAGGACUGAGCCCCAGAACUUGGGCAUGUAGAAAAGUGCUGGUCUGUCAAGUCAUAGCCCAACCACGGGGGUCUGGAGACAGGGCUUCCAUGUGUAGCUCUGGCUGUGAGCUCGCGGAGGCCGAAGCAGUCAACAGCCUGACCAACACAUCAAGGUUCAGGCUAGCCUUGUCUCUAUAGUGAGACCUUGCCUCGAACAAAAUAAACACUGCGUACUUACAAGGCGCAGGACACCACACGGACACUAGAGAGCCUGUGGAGAAGGGUUACCAGGCGUCAGCGGUGAAAAGGUGUGGAGAGAAGGGAAGGCCUUGUGCAUACCUUGACGUUUGAGCAGAGACCAGAAUGAGGCGUGAACAUCUUGCUGCCAAGGUUGGAGAGGUGUGAAGGGCACUAGGAAAAACGGUAAUAACCUCCCCGAGGCCAAAGAUCCAGAAUGAUCCAGAUACUGAUCUGAGGCUCAGCAGGUACCAGCACUUGCUGCUCAAUCAUGCGUUUGGAACCCAGCAACCAUGUAUCAAGCCAGGCACCCCCAAACCCCUGUAACUGCAGCCCGAAGGUGCUGGUAACUCGCCAGCCUCCAGCCUAGCCCAGAAAGUGUGAGCCCCAGGCUGAAGGAGAGACCCUGCCUCAAAGACCUGGAUGGAGACUCGAGAGAGGAGGCACCAACACUUCAUUUUGGUGUGCACAGAAUGAAAAUCCCAAUCGUUUGAUUUUACCAGCGAAGACUCAGGAGCCAGAUGCUGUGGUGAAAACCUGCUAGCUCAGAGAGGCAGAGAAAGCACCCAGCUGAUCUAACUCAGCCUACAGCCGGAAGGAAAAAGACAAAAGCUAAAAGACAAAAAAAAAGCCCAAAGCCAAAAGCUUGCUAGCUCAGCUGAUAGCACAGGAGGAAAAGGCCUCCUAACUCACCAAAAGAAAGCCAAAAGCUGAAAGCCAAAGAGCUCCUUCUCCACGCUGUCUUAAACCUCUUCUCUCAAAGCCCCUCCUUUCUACGGAUCUCUGUCAGCUGGUUUCUUGCUCUGCCUUUUGACCUAAGGUUAACUUUAUUAAAUCUGUGUAC